GCAAGUUUUGUCUUGAUAUAGUCAGCGGCGGACGGGUGAGUAACGCGUGGGAAUCAACCCCAGACUGAGGGAUAAGCUCAAGAAAUUGAGUCUAAUACCGCAUAACCUCUAAGGAGAAAAGCUUCGGCGGUUUGGGAUGAGCCUGCGUAUGAUUAGCUAGUUGGUAGGGUAAAAGCCUACCAAGGCGACGAUCAUUAGCUGGUCUGAGAGGAUGAUCAGCCACACUGGAACUGAGACACGGUCCAGACUCC
rnacentral:rRNA from 1 species